UGGGGGAUAUUGCACAAUGGGGGAAACCCUGAUGCAGCAACGCCGCGUGAAGGAAGAAGGUCUUCGGAUUGUAAACUUUUGUCUUGUGGGAAGAUAAUGACGGUACCACAGGAGGAAGCUCCGGCUAACUACGUGCCAGCAGCCGCGGUAAUACGUAGGGAGCGAGCGUUGUCCGGAUUUACUGGGUGUAAAGGGUGCGUAGGCGGCUAGACAAGUCAGGUGUGAAAUACCGCAGCUCAACGGCGGGGCUGCACUUGAAACUGUAGAGCUUGAGUGAUGGAGAGGUAAGCGGAAUUCCUAGUGUAGCGGUAAAAUGCGUAGAUAUUAGGAGGAACACCAGUGGCGAAGGCGGCUUACUGGACAUUAACUGACGCUGAGGCACGAAAGCGUGGGGAGCAAACA
rnacentral:rRNA from 1 species